AGGACGAACGCUGGCGGCGUGCUUAACACAUGCAAGUCGAGCGAGAGCCAGCUGAGGGGUAACCCUCGGCUGGGGACAGCGGCGAACGGGUGCGUAACACGUGGGCAACCUGCCCCUGACACUGGGAUAACCCCGGGAAACCGGAGCUAAUACCGGAUACUCUCGGCCGAUCACAUGGCUGGCCGAGGAAAGGUCCGCCGGUCAGGGGAUGGGCCCGCGGCCUAUCAGCUUGUUGGUGAGGUAACGGCCACCAAGGCGACGACGGGUAGCUGGUCUGAGAGGACGACCAGCCACACUGGAACUGAGAUACGGUCCAGACUCCUACGGGAGGCAGCAGUGGGGGAAUA
rnacentral:rRNA from 1 species